AUUGAACGCUGGCGGCAUGCUUUACACAUGCAAGUCGAACGGCAGCGCGGGGGCAACCCUGGCGGCGAGUGGCGAACGGGUGAGUAAUGCAUCGGAACGUAUCCUGUAAUGGGGGAUAACGUAGCGAAAGUUACGCUAAUACCGCAUACGCUCGAGAGAGGAAAGUGGGGGAUCGCAAGACCUCACGUUAUAGGAGCGGCCGAUGUCCGAUUGGCUAGUUGGUGGGGUAAAGGCCUACCAAGGCGACGAUCGGUAGCUGGUCUGAGAGGAUGAUCAGCCACACUGGGACUGAGACACGGCCCAGACUCCUACGGGAGGCAGCAGUGGGGAAUUUUGGACAAUGGGCGAAAGCCUGAUCCAGCCAUGCCGCGUGCGGGAAGAAGGCCU
rnacentral:rRNA from 1 species